rnacentral:rRNA from 1 species
AUGCAGCCGGCGCCGACCGCCCGGACCGCCGGCUGGCUCCACCGCCCGCUCCCGAGAGAGCGGCCGCACCUGACCCGCUGCACCAAGAUCCUCUGCUCGGCGUUCCUCACCCUGCUCCUCGUCGCCGGCGUGCUCCUCUUCGUCGCCUACCUCGCCGUGCGCCCGCACCGGCCGCGCUUCCACGUCACCGCCUUCUCCGCCGCCAGCGUCCAGCAGGCCGGCGCCGGCGCGGUCCUCCUCUCCGGGCAGCUCUCCAUCCGCAACCCGAACCGGGACGUGGCCUUCUUCUACGACCGGCUCUACAUGUCCGUGCUCUACCGCCAGUACGGCGCCGUCGUCAAGGACCACGACCUGGCCGGCGGGGCGCCCAUGUACCAGCCGCCCAAGACCACGACGCCCCUCGCGUUCGAGGGCGUCGCCGUGCCGGCGGGCCCCGCCACGGCCGACAUGGCCAGGGCGGCCGCGGAGGCCGGAGGUGGCGCGGUGGAGUUCACGGUGAAGGUCCGGUCGAGGAUCCGGGCCAAGGUGGCCGUCUGGGGCUUCCACUGGCACCCGCUCCACGUGGACUGCGACGUGGCCGUGGGCCCCGACGGGCAGCUGCUGCCGGAGGCCCGGCAGAAGCGCUGCGACAUAGACUUCUUGUAG